rnacentral:tRNA from 1 species
AAUAGUGCGUUAUGCAAGCAGUUAGCCCUUUAGUUAACGAAUUACAAUUAGGCUCGCGUCUCAACAGUGCUGUUGA